CGCGGCCUAUCAGCUUGUUGGUGAGGUAACGGCUCACCAAGGCAUCGACGGGUAGCUGGUCUGAGAGGAUGAUCAGCCACACUGGGACUGAGACACGGCCCAGACUCCUACGGGAGGCAGCAGUGGGGAAUAUUGCACAAUGGGCGCAAGCCUGAUGCAGCAACGCCGCGUGAGGGAUGACGGCCUUCGGGUUGUAAACCCCUUUUAGCAGGGAAGAAGCGAAAGUGACGGUACCUGCAGAAAAAGCACCGGCUAACUACGUGCCAGCAGCCGCGGUAAUACGUAGGGUGCAAGCGUUGUCCGGAAUUAUUGGGCGUAAAGAGCUCGUAGGCGGUUCUGUAAGUCGGAUGUGAAAACUCAGGGCUCAACCCUGAGACGCCAUCUGAUACUGCAGUGACUAGAGUCCGGUAGAGGAAGAUGGAAUUCCUGGUGUAGCGGUGGAAUGCGCAGAUAUCAGGAGGAACACCAACGGCGAAGGCAGUCUUCUGGGCCGGUACUGACGCUGAGGAGCGAAAGCAUGGGGAGCAAACAGGAUUAGAUACCCUGGUAGUCCAUGCCGUAAACGUUGGGCACUAGGUGUGGGGUCUUCUAACGGAUUCCGUGCCGUAGCUAACGCAUUAAGUGCCCCGCCUGGGGAG
rnacentral:rRNA from 1 species